UUCCCUAGAAUUUCUUAAGAUUUCUUGGCUACUUACUUAUUUUGUUGAGGGCUGAUUUCUUUUCCAUGGUAGAUUAUUUUAUCACAUAUAAUGCUUUACUUUUUUGUGGAGGGCUGAUUUCUUUCUUGUAAAAGGUAAGAGAUUCCUAAAAAAACAGGACCCCUAGAGUCUUAUAUAAAUCCUUGUAUCUUUCAUGAAGAGGACAAUGAAUAAUUUUACAAACUCCACAAAUACUUGUGUUAAUCGCUCCGAGAGGGAGAGGGUGUGAGACCCAAAAUCG
rnacentral:lncRNA from 1 species